UACGAAGGGGGCUAGCGUUGCUCGGAUUGACUGGGCGUAAAGGGCGCGUAGGCGGUUCGUACAGUCAGACGUGAAAUUCCUGGGCUCAACCUGGGGGCUGCGUUUGAUACGUGCGGACUUGAGUGCGGAAGAGGGUCGUGGAAUUCCCAGUGUAGAGGUGAAAUUCGUAGAUAUUGGGAAGAACACCGGUGGCGAAGGCGGCGACCUGGUCCGAUACUGACGCUGAGGCGCGAAAGCGUGGGGAGCGAACCGG
rnacentral:rRNA from 1 species